AAACAAUACUAAAUGUUUUUAUCGUAACUAUAAUUAGUAGAAUAAUUUGUUAAGAGUCAUCAUGCGAUUUUACAAGAAAAAGUUAUUUGAGGAAAAAGCGGUAAUUGAGAAUCAAGUUGAAAUGUGAGAAUAAGAUUGGAAUAACACGAGAGAAAUGUGAGAUUGCAAAAACAAAGUCAUGUGAUGAGAAAAACAAUUGUGGAGAAAAUGAUUUGAUUUUAAGAAAAUGACAACGACCGUAUUGUCACGACCAUAAGGCGCACUAAAAAGUCUUUUCAAUUUUCUCCAAAACGGACGGGGCGCCUUAUCAUGCGGGCGCGCCUUAUGUGAGCACCGAGUUCCGAAAUCUGUAAAUGUUGUCGUGUGACUUCGAUGACCGACUGGCUGAGCAGUUCCCCCGGCAACGAGACGAAAGCUGUUCAUUUCGGAUCCAGGAGAUGAGGACUUGGACGGAUUCGCCGAUGAGGAUUGAUCCAAAAAUAACGUCCGCAGCGGAGACUGACUUGGAGAUCUUCCUGAGCGUCAGCGUGAAGUCCUCCAUCAUCACGGGCAUCUGCAGCUCUUCUUUGGACAGGGCUCGGAUCUCCUCCGGGCUCAGGCCCUGGAUUCGCCGCCGCAUGGCCAUCAUUGACGCAUCCCUGAGGGAGAAGAUUGCAAAGAUGUCCGGGGAACAGUCUUCUUCUCCCGCGAGCAUUCAUCGACGAACCUGCAGACGUUGGUGACGUCGGCUCCGGAGUAGCCCUCCGUCUUCUCGGCGAUGACGUCCAGGUCCACGUCGGCGGCCAACUCCACCUCCCGCAAGUUGAUCUUUAGAAGCUCCACGCGACCCGCAGCUGCACAACGUUCGGAAGGCAUACAUAAGGAAGCCCUUCUCACGCUUCAAAAACAUGAAAGUAGGGGGCCAUUUUACACCUGACGAGGUAAGAGCGGCGCUGUAAUGGAAGCCUUUGUUACACUGCGUAUCAAAUCAGACAAUUUUCUGCCUUUUUCCGUGUCGCCGCUCGGUCUAAACGAAACACGGACUGAGCGACUUUCUGCCUUAAGAGGUGGAAUCGGAGCAGUGAUGGAAGCCCCCUUUCACGCGGUCUCUCAAAAUGCCCGACGUCGCUCUCCGAGGGCGGCUUCAGUCUCAGAGGUUUGCAGCUCUUGAGCCUGUAGGCCAGCGUCAGGAAAAUGGCGUCCACGUGCUCCUUCUCGGCGGGGUCCUUGGCCGACGUCUCGAAGAGGGGCAUGUCGUGCGCGUCGGCCAGGCGCUGCGCCGCCGACGUGGGCACCUCGCGGCGGUCCCGCAGGUCGCACUUGUUGCCCACCACCACGCGUGGCGCCAGCGCCCCCACGGCGUGACGGCCGCACUCCUCGAUCCAGUCGGGGACGCUCUGGAAGGUGGCCAGGCUGGUGACGUCGUACACGAAGAUGACGGCGUGCGCGCUGCGGUAGUAGUGCUCCACCAUGCUCUUCCUGAAACGCUCCUGGCCUGCCGUGUCCCAGAUCUGCAACUGGCCCCAAAGGAACAAACAUUAAAAUGGCUGCAUUUGAUUAACAACGGCACAUCUGCCUCACAGCUGUGAAAGGUUCUGGGUUGGAAUCCUAGUUCAUGCCCUCCUGUGUGCAGUCUGCAUGUUCUCCAGGUAUGGGGCUUCCUUUUACAUUUGACAAACUUGUUUGUUCAAGUCUUCAAAUUGUCCAUAGGUGUGAAAGUCAGUGUGAAUAGUUUCUUGUCUAUUUGUGCCCUGCCCAAAGUCAACUGUUACACAGUUUAUUUCUAAAUGGCUGUAAAGAAAAUAGCUCCAAAAAAAGAAAAUAGCUUUUUUUUUUUUUUUUUUAACAAAAACACGGAAGAGUGCCUCCUAUUGGCUCGCAGUGCUGACAUCAUUUUCCACUGCUUCAACCUUCUUUUUUUUUUAAAAAAAUAACCCGUAAUUUUUCUAAACUACUAACCUUCAUAAAUAAAGUAUUUAUUUAUUUUAAAAAUCACAUCACGGUGAAGUUGUCGAAGACAAAGGAGCUCCGCGUCAGUGGCAGCUAGCAUGGUGGACUUGUUACCUUAACGACUUCUCCAUGGAGCUCCAGUGUCCUCUCCCUGAAGUCAACGCCGAUGGUCGCCUCGGGGUUGUUCAGAAAAGAGCCGCCGCAGAACCUGGACGUCAAACACGUCUUCCCCACGCUGGUGUCUCCGAUGACGAUAAUUUUAAAGACUCGGCACGGCGACGACAGCUCCAGGGAGUCGAAAAAGACCGAGUCGAAAUCCUCACCGCCGGCGCUUUUGUUUUCUAUUGCCAUCGCUCAUCGUCUCGCCGAGUGAACCGGACAUGGACACUUGUAAAUCCCGCGAGAGCAGAGUGAGACUUGGCGAGAAUGUACACCUUAUUCUUUCUUGUAUUUUACUUAUUUUUUUUAUAUAAAAGCGAUUGAAUAGAACA